rnacentral:rRNA from 1 species
UACGUAGGUGCGAGCGUUGUCCGGAAUUACUGGGCGUAAAGAGCUCGUAGGUGGUUUGUCGCGUUGUCCGUGAAAACUCACAACUCAAUUGUGGGUCGUGCGGGCGAUACGGGCAGACUGGAGUACUGCAGGGGAGACUGGAAUUCCGUGGUGAGCGGUGGAAUGCGCAGAUAUCAGGAGGAACACCGGUGGCGAAGGCGGGUCUCUGGGCAGUAACUGACGCUGAGGAGCGAAAGCGUGGGGAGCGAACAGG